AACGCAGCGUCGGUGCACCGUUCGCGGUGGUUAUACACGCGCAUGGUUAGUUGUUCCCAUAUGCUCACCACAGAGACUCGAGCACUUUCGAGCGCCGCCCUGUGGUCCGUGAACACCUGCUUCACCGCUCGGCAGCUACCCGAGAUGGGCACGGAAGGCUGCACCCGAUGCCAAACCUUCGGUUCGGGGGCUUCUCUGGUCGAUGCCCUCGGCGAGUACGCCGUCCGCUGCAAACGCUAGCGCACGCAGUUCCUUUCGAUGGAAGAUUUCUGGAACGCUGUGUUGCAUAUGAUAAAACACGUACCGGAAGCACAACCCAGGGCGGAGAACACGUCGAGAAACUUCGGUCCGUCUGCGCUGCCUUGGUGCGCAGCUGUGACGGACACUCCACUGGGAGCGAUCGCUGCGAUGAUUCCGGUUCAAUUCCAAGACCCUUAGCCAGGAGUCCAGAGCACACAGGACCGUGUUUUACGCAUAUCCGGUGAGACGUUUCGUGCUGGUGUAGAAUACCAGGACGUCGAUGGCCACAGAAAGAUGAGGAUUUGUCUGUUGAACGGAUUCGAUCAUUGGCCGUGAUCAGUUCAGUGGGCGUGCAGCCUGGUCUAAUGAGCAAGUCGUCGAGUAUGUUUCGUCAUCAAUCCAGUGCAGCGAAUCGUUGCGCCCAUGAUUCGCUUUGGAGCAGAGAGAUCGAAGCAUUGGAAGAUGUAUGAUUUUAGCAUGCCGUGCGUAUGGAAAGGAGAACAGUGGUGGCUUCUUCGUACGCAUUGAAAGAUGAUAUUGGUUAUUCAACGAACUCAUUUCCAAGAGUGUCGCGAAUCAUCUUCAUUCCGGUAAUGUCAUGAGUUUCGGUGGCAACGCGUCAACGGAGCUACCUCUGAUGCACGAUCAAGCAUCCCAAAGCGACGUAUGGAUCUGUAUGCCCUUAUUGCUGCUCUUGGAAUGAUGACGCUGUACAUCUAGGUAAAAGCCCCGAGAAAGAUUCGAAAGGCAGGAAUAGAGCAAUCCGUUCAGUAUUCCAUUUACAUCUGACACGAGCGGAGCCAUCAGCACCGAUUACCUGCCAGCAGGCUCGAACAUGCUGCGCAGAUCGGCGAGCGUCAGAGCAUGUGUAUCGAGCAUGUCGGCUGGGGGACGUGCUCGACACUGCCCUGUAGACUGGUGCUGCUGCUGCUGCUGCUGCUGCUGCCAGACAUGACUCGCGCUGAUCGCCUGUACCUGCUCCUCGACGGUACCCUGCACCACAUAGCGAUGAACAUACGUGCAACACGUCUGACCGAUACGAUGAACACGACCUAUUGCUUGCAGCUCGGCCGCAGGGUCCAACAGCGGCUCCAGUAAAAACACAUGCCGUGCUUCGACGAGGUUCAAACCAUUGGCUCCGAUGCGAAUCGGCAAGAGCAGCGCGCACAUUGGCUCACGACGCCCGCGAAAAGCCUCAACAUCACCGAUAACGUGCGGGAUAUUGUUGCGCUCGAGCGCCGCACUCAAGAUCUGUAACAGCUCUGACCACAGCGAAAACACGACGCAUCGAUGGGUUGCAUCGGGAACAGGCCCUCGCUCCGCAACCUGUCUUGUCGCGUAUUCUUGGAUGAACAGCAGAUCGCGCACGACUGCUUCGAUUUUGGCGCCAAAGCUUCCUUUAAUGGGUGCCAUCGCGCUCUGCGAACUCGCUGCUCCCGUCUGAAUGAACGAGACCUCUCGUGUGUUGCAGACCUCACGGCAAAGUGGACACGGCAGCGAGCGGCUGUGUUGUCGAUAGACGCGCGCCUCGAGGUAGCUCGACGUGCAUUCGAUACAGAAACAGUGGCCACACGGCAGGAGGACAAGCUCGGAACCCAGCUGUCGAUAGCAAAUCGGACAGGGCUCCUGACGCUUCGCUGCGAGAUCCUCUACACAGGAGCUUUUCAGGCGUUGCAAGUAGACCAGCUGGCCUUUCUUGCGAUCUGACUGUUCUUCAGCGAGGCGGCGAUCUAACUCUAGCGCAAGCGCUGUAGACUCGAUUUCCGCCUCUAGGAUUCGAUAGCGGCGCUCUGACUCGCUGACUUGCUCGCCAGGUGCUCGGAGCGUGAUGCGUGUUGCCGCCAUAAUGAGUUCAUCCAGGGCGCCCAGAUAGUCUUUCUGAGCGCGGAAAUAGACA
rnacentral:misc_RNA from 1 species